UACGGAAGGGGCAAGCAUUGUUCGGAAUCAUUGGGCGUAAAGGGCGCGUAGGUGGUUCUGUAUGUCUACCGUGAAAGCAUACAGCUCAACUGUAUUUUGUCGGUAGAAACUGCAGGACUUGAGGCUGGGAGGGGCUGGUGGAAUUCCCUGUGUAGCGGUGAAAUGCGUAGAGAUGGGGGAGAACACUCGUGGCGAAGGCGGCCAGCUAGACCAGUUCUGACACUGAGGCGCGACAGCGUGGGGAGCAAACAGG
rnacentral:rRNA from 1 species